rnacentral:lncRNA from 1 species
AUAUCUAUUAAUAUCCCCAGCCAAAAUUAUUUCAUCAGCAAACCAAGAUAUACCUCUUCACUUAACAUGUCGAAAACAAGAGUACAGGGGAAUGCGAGAUGCAUAACAGCCCUUGUAUACAAAAUUCACACGCGCAAGUCAGUUAUAUAUAUAGCCAAUAAUAGGCAACACUAAACUAAAAGAAUUUAGGUCUUUAGCAGGCUCACUUUCAAUCUUUCAGUCUAUCCAACAAAUUAAAAAUAUUUAAAUUAAUAAAAUAGCAACUAACUCUUGGUUCAGCGGUAUCUACCUUGCUUCCUUUACCGGAUGUCGAGGGUUCGAUCCUUCUCAAAGACAAAACGAGUGUGUGCGUGGGUUUAAUCAUCAAAACAAUAACCAGCAUCACAAAUCGACUAUGUAGGUAAAUCCUCUUAACAGUUAAUGACGAAUAAUAUAAAGUUCUAAGUUGUGGUGCUUAAAUAAUCGCCCAUUUAGUUAAACCUAUCCUUCAACUGCUUUUAACCAAUAGAUGUAAUAUUUCGGAAUGGGGGAUCUUUGCUGAUUGCAGUUUUGGAUAUUAUAUUCAAAGGGAUCAAAUAAUUCAGAACCAAACCAGAUUCCAAAACAUUCCGUAUUAGUACACCAAGAAUACCUAUACUAUUCUAGUGUUCUUAUCCACUAAAAUCAACAAGAGUUAUCAUAAAGACACAACAAGUAAAAAUUCGGAGAAACAGCUACAAUCCCAUGAAGAAAUUGGCCUAGUCAGUAUGACCCCAGAUUCAUCCUAGCGAUCUCCAAAAUUANUUCCUCCCACCUCACACACUUAAGAAUACCUCAUGCACCAUUGGAAAUGACAAACAUUGAAACAACCAAGGAAGCACAUGGAUAAUAGGCAAAUCCACAUCAAUCUUAGAGGGCGUUUGGAUACGUGCAUUUCAUUUCAAAUGAUGGAUUUUAAAUGACAGGAUUUGAGUUGUCAUUUCAAACUAUCAGCUUUAUACUAAUAUUUGAAUGUCCUGGAUUUCAAAUGAAAUCCAAAUCUAUAUUCCCAAACAGAUUAUGUGUUCAAAUUCAGAAUUUCAAAUGAAAUCCAGGUUCCCAAACGGACCAUGAAGUAAAUUACUCUGAUUAAUUCGAAAUUUACCCUAAUAUUCAAGUACUACGACACAUGUAUAUUCAUAAGACCUUAGAUUCCAAUUCUAAAUAUCUAUUAAUAUCCCCAGCCAAAAUUAUUUCAUCAGCAAACCAAGAUAUACCUCUUCACUUAACAUGUCGAAAACAAGAGUACAGGGGAAUGCGAGAUGCAUAACAGCCCUUGUAUACAAAAUUCACACGCGCAAGUCAGUUAUAUAUAUAGCCAAUAAUAGGCAACACUAAACUAAAAGAAUUUAGGUCUUUAGCAGGCUCACUUUCAAUCUUUCAGUCUAUCCAACAAAUUAAAAAUAUUUAAAUUAAUAAAAUAGCAACUAACUCUUGGUUCAGCGGUAUCUACCUUGCUUCCUUUACCGGAUGUCGAGGGUUCGAUCCUUCUCAAAGACAAAACGAGUGUGUGCGUGGGUUUAAUCAUCAAAACAAUAACCAGCAUCACAAAUCGACUAUGUAG